rnacentral:misc_RNA from 1 species
AACACUGUUAACCUGCGGUACCUGCGGAAGGAUCAUUACAGUAUUCUUUUGCCAGCGCUUAACUGCGCGGCGAAAAACCUUACACACAGUGUCUUUUUGAUACAGAACUCUUGCUUUGGUUUGGCCUAGAGAUAGGUUGGGCCAGAGGUUUAACAAAACACAAUUUAAUUAUUUUUACAGUUAGUCAAAUUUUGAAUUAAUCUUCAAAACUUUUAACAACGGAUCUCAGAUCGGAAGAGC